GUAGGUGGCAAGCGUUGUCCGGAAUUAUUGGGCGUAAAGCGCGCGCAGGCGGUUCUUUAAGUCUGAUGUGAAAGCCCACGGCUCAACCGUGGAGGGUCAUUGGAAACUGGAGAACUUGAGUACAGAAGAGGAAAGCGGAGUUCCACGUGUAGCGGUGAAAUGCGUAGAGAUGUGGAGGAACACCAGUGGCGAAGGCGGCUUUCUGGUCUGUAACUGACGCUGAGGCGCGAAAGCGUGGGGAGCAAACAGGAUUAGAUACCCUGGUAGUCCACGCCGUAAACGAUGAGUGCUAAGUGUUAGGGGGUUUCCGCCCCCCUUAGUGCUGCAGCUAACGCAUUAAGCACUCCGCCCUGGGAGUACGGCCGCAAGGCUG
rnacentral:rRNA from 1 species